ACAGAGGGUGCAAGCGUUAAUCGGAUUUACUGGGCGUAAAGCGUGCGUAGGUGGCCAAUUAAGUCAAAUGUGAAAUCCCCGAGCUUAACUUGGGAAUUGCAUUCGAUACUGGUUGGCUAGAGUAUGGGAGAGGAUGGUAGAAUUCCAGGUGUAGCGGUGAAAUGCGUAGAGAUCUGGAGGAAUACCGAUGGCGAAGGCAGCCAUCUGGCCUAAUACUGACACUGAGGUACGAAAGCAUGGGGAGCAAACAG
rnacentral:rRNA from 1 species